GACGAACGCUGGCGGCGUGCUUAACACAUGCAAGUCGAACGGUAAGGCCCUUCGGGGUACACGAGUGGCGAACGGGUGAGUAACACGUGGGUGAUCUGCCCUGCACUUCGGGAUAAGCCUGGGAAACUGGGUCUAAUACCGGAUAGGACUCCUGGCUUCAUGGUUGGGGGUGGAAAGCUUUUGCGGUGUGGGAUGGGCCCGCGGCCUAUCAGCUUGUUGGUGGGGUAAUGGCCUACCAAGGCGACGACGGGUAGCCGGCCUGAGGGGGUGACCGGUCACACUGGGACUGAGAUACGGCCCAGACUCCUACGGGAGGCAGCAGUGGGGAGUAUUGCACAAUGGGCGCAAGCCUGAUGCAGCGACGCCGCGUGAGGGAUGACGGCCUUCGGGUUGUAAACCUCUUUCAGCUAUGACGAAGCGCAAGUGACGGUAGUAGCAGAAGAAGGACCGGCCAACUACGUGCCAGCCGCCGCAGUAA
rnacentral:rRNA from 1 species